GAUGAACGCUAGCUACAGGCUUAACACAUGCAAGUCGAGGGGCAGCACUAGGUAGCAAUACUGAGGUGGCGACCGGCGCACGGGUGCGUAACGCGUAUCCAACCUUCCCGUUACUCUUGGAUAGCCUUCCGAAAGGGAGAUUAAUACCGAAUAACAUAGAGUGAUUGCCUGAUUUCUCUAUGAAAGCUCCGGCGAUGAAGGAUGGGGAUGCGUUCCAUUAGGUAGUAGGCGGGGUAACGGCCCACCUAGCCGACGAUGGAUAGGGGUUCUGAGAGGAAGGUCCCCCACACUGGAACUGAGACACGGUCCAGACUCCUACGGGAGGCAGCAGUGAGGAAUAUUGGUCAAUGGCCGGGAGGCUGAACCAGCCAUGCCGCGUGAAGGUCACGGCCCUAUGGGUCUUAAACUUCUUUUGUAAGGGAGCAAUAAGGUCCACGUGUGGACUGAUGAGAGUACCUUACGAAUAAGCAUCGGCUAACUCCGUG
rnacentral:rRNA from 1 species